AGAUGGAUGGGCUUCUCCUUGGAGUCAGGGGAGAGUGAUGCUUUCUUUUCUCUCUUUAAAGGAUUCGGCUAGAGCUCCAAAUGGAACUGGGAAGGAGAUCUGAACAGUUGAGUUGCUUGGCUUCAUUUUGAUCGUGCGCCUAAUAAUCUGUCAUCAUUUAAAGGCCAUUUCCUCCGCACCUGCAUCCAGAGUGCAUCCAGAGGCUGAGGCCUUGAGGAGAAAUCACAGAGUCCCUGUUCUGUUCCUUCUCAGUCACGUGUCCCACUUCCAACCAUGCGCAGCAUGACCUGGAAAGAAAGCGAAGUUCAAAUUGGUCCUUUAAGAAUUCUGGCGGUGGGGUCUGGAAUCCAGCAGACCUGGAUGAAAUCCUGACUCCCCUGCUUGUUAACUGUUUGACCUUGGACAAAUUAGUUCAGUUUCCUCUGAGCCUCAGUCUCCCUGUAAGAAGAAUGAAAUGUCAUCUUGCUGGAAGCCUCGACUGCUUUCUAGGCAAACCAUUUGUUCUGUGAAGACUACACAAUAAAUGUCAACCCCGGGCAGUUUUGGCAUUUGUGGGAGCGUAACACGCAGUUCUCAUCUGCCUGCAUGAGGCUGCUGAGCAGCGAGGAUUUAUCGACAGAAAGAACCAAUCAUCAAGCCUCUCCAAGUCCAGAGUUUUUCUGUAUCUUGUCUCAUCUGGGAGAUGGUCCAGGUGAUUUAUGACUGGCCAGUGUUCUGUAUGUCACACUGAGUUCUUUGGAGAAUCUGGAGCUGGAAAAAUGUCAAGUUGAGGUAGGAGGAUUAUAAAAAGGCAAGCUUUUUUCCCCCCACCACAUUAAAGCAUCAAGA